CCUCUUCUUCCUCCUCCUCCUCCUCCUCCUCCUCCUCCUCCUCCUCCUCCUCCUCCUCCCGUUGCAAUCCGCGUAACGUUUUGGAACAUCUAGCGCCAUUCCCGUCCAUUCCUCACCUACUGCCAUACAGCGAGUGCCAUUCCCGAGCCCAUUCCCACUUGCUCACACUCCACAUGAAAGUCAGACUGGAAUAUAGGCUUUGGUGGAGGGAAUCAGGUUGGAAUACAGGGCUUUUGGAAUACAGGAAUCAAGGCUGGAAUGUGACGUUGAGAAUGGGAACUGGACGGGAAUUUAUCUUUAGGAGUGUGAAGAUUUAAGUCAGACUGGAAUACAGGCUUUGGAAUACAGGAACCAAGGCUGGAAUACAUGACGUUGGGAAUGGGAACUGGACGGGAAUUUAACUUUUGGAGUGUGAAGAUUUAAGUCAGACUGGAAUACAGGCUUGGGAGGAAGGAAUCAAGGGUGGGAAUCAGACUGGAAUAUAUGACUUUAGGAAUGGGAACUGGACGGGAAUUUAACUUCUGGAGUGUGAAGAUUUAAGUCAGACUGGAAUACAGGCUUGGGAGGAAGGAAUCAAGUUGGAAUACAGGAAUCAAGGGUGGGAAACAAACUGGAAUAUAUGACUUUAGGAAUGGGAACUGGACUGGAAUUUGUUUUUUAGUGUGAAGAUCAAGGUAAGAAACAUGGGAAUCGGACUGGAAUAAAAGACUAGGAAUAGGAAUCAGGCUGGAAUAUUACUUUAGGAAUGGAAAUCAGCUUGGAAUACAUGCUUUAAUAGGGGAAAUAUAAAAGUGAAAAUAGUGGGAAUCAGGCUGGAACAUGACUAGGAAUGGGGAUCAGACUGGAAUACGGGACCUUUAGAAAUAGGUCAGGUUGGAAUAGGAAGCUUUGCAAAUAGGAAUCAACCUGGAAUAUCAAACUUUAGGAAUGGGUCAGGUUGGAACGUCACUUUUGGAAUGGGAAUCAGGCAGGAAUAUAAGCUUUAGGAAUGGGUCAGGUUGGAACGUUACUUUAGAAAUGGGAAUCAGGCUGGAAUAUGAAGGUUUAGGAAUGGGUAAGUUUGGAACGUCACUUUUGGAAUGGGAAUCAGGCAGGAAUAUGGUUUAGUAAUGGGUCAGGUUGGAACAUCACUUUUGGAAUGGGAAUCAGGCAGGAAUAUAAGGUUUAGGAAUGGGUUAGGUUGGAACGUCUUUAGGAAUGGGAAUCAGGCUGGAAUAUAAAGGUUUAGAAAUGGGAAUCAGGCAGGAAUAUGGUUUAGUAAUGGGUCAGGUUGGAACAUCACUUUUGGAAUGGGAAUCAGGCAGGAAUAUAGAGGUUUAGGAAUGGGUUAGGUUGGAACAUCACUUUGGGAAUGGGAAUACGACUGAAAUACUGGAACGGCGACAGGACUGGGAGGCGGGAAUGAAAAUAUUGGAAUGGACGACUCUAUGGGGGGCCAUUCCUGUUUAUUUAAAGGCGACCUCUAUCGGGAAUGGGGUGAGGGGCGCCAUUCCCAUUCCAGUUGAUAUAAUGGUGAUGGUGCCUCGCUCACACUGGAAUGCCCGUCUGUCUGUCUGUCUGUGAGUGUGUCUGUCAGUCUAUAUAUCUGUCUGUGUGUGUGUGUGUGUGUGUGUGUGUGUGUGUGUGUGUGUGUGUGUGUGUGUGAGUGCGUCUGUCAGUCUAUCUAGUGUGUCUGUCUGUCUGUCUGUCUGUCUGUCUAUAUAUCUGUCUAUCUGUGUGUGUGUGUGUGUGUGUGUGUGUGUGUGUAUAUCUGUCUAUCUGUGUGUGUCUGUCUGUCUGUCUGUCUGUAUAGCAUGUCUCUGUGUGUAUGUCUAACGUUUAUUUGUCUGUCUGUCUGUCUUUGUAUCUGUCUAACGGCUCGCGUGUCUGUCUGUCUGUCUGUCUGUGUGGUUUUAACAGCAUGCUCUUUCCUUUCUCCAUUUCCCUCCCUUUCCCUUCCCCUCCUUAUCCUCUCCUUCCAUUUCUUUCCCUUCUAUUCCCUUUCCUCUUUUUCUCAUCCUUCCUUUCCAUUAUCAUUUUUGCUUCCCUGUCUUUCCCUUCCCUUCCCUUUCCAUCUAUUUGUCUUCUAUUCUUCUUCCUCUCCUAACAUUUUUUCCCCCUUCUAUUCCCUUCCCUUCUUUUCUCAUCCUUCCUUUCCAUUAUCAUUUCUGCUUCCCUGUCUUUCCCUUCCCUUCCAUUUCCAUCUAUUUAUCUUCUCUUCUUUUUGCUCUACAUACAUUUCUUUCCUGUCCAUUCUCUUCCCUUCCAUUUCCUUUUCCAUCCUUCCUUUUUAUAUUAACUUAUUUUUUUCUUCACUGUCCUUAAGUUAGGUUAGGUUAGGUUAGGUUAGAUUAGGUUAGGUAAAGUAAGGUAAGGUAAGGUAAGGUUAGGUUAGGUUAGGUAAGGUAAGGUAAGGUAAGGUAAGGUAAGGUAAGGUAAGGUUAGGUUAGGUUAGGUUAGGUUAGGUAAGGUAAGGUAAGGUAAGGUAAGGUAAGGUAAGGUAAGGUAAGGUAAGGUAAGGUUAGGUUAGGUAAGGUAAGGUAAGGUAAGGUAAGGUAAGGUAAGGUUAGGUUAGAUUAGGUUAGGUAAGGUAAGGUAAGGUUAGGUUAGGUUAGGUUAGGUUAGGUUAGGUAAGGUAAGGUAAGGUAAGGUAAGGUAAGGUUAGAUUAGGUUAGGUUAGAUUAGGUUAGGUAAGGUAAGGUAAGGUAAGGUUAGGUUAGAUUAGGUAAGGUAAGGUAAGGUAAGGUAAGGUAAGGUAAGGUUAGGUUAGAUUAGGUAAGGUAAGGUAAGGUAAGGUUAGGUAAGGUAAGGUAAGGUUAGGUUAGAUUAGGUUAGGUAAGGUAAGGUAAGGUUAGGUUAGAUUAGGUUAGGUAAGGUAAGAUAAGGUUAGGUUAGGUUAGGUUAGGUUAGGUUAGGUUAGGUUAGGUUAGGUUAGCCCUCUCGUUCCCUUUCCUCUCCAUCCCUUUUCUUUCCCUCUUCAGCCCUUCACUGUCAUCAUCAUCACCAUCAUCAUCACUAUUACGAACAUCCAUUUUCUUUACGUCUCCCGCUACUGUCACCAUCAACACUAUCCCUUCACCAUUGACUCACUAUUACCAACAUCAAAGUUUAUCUCCCCAUUUUCUUCACCAUCGUCAUUAUAGUACUUUUUUGGGGGGUCCUAAUUUUCAUGACAUAUGUGACACUAAUCGUUACAUGUAUCUCAAUAUCAUUAUCAGUAUCUCUCUCUCUCUCUCUCUCUCUCUCUCUCUCUCUCUCUCUCUCUCUCUCUCUCUCUCUGGGGACGGUGGAAAAGAAAUAAGAGGAGGAGGAGGAGGAGGAGAGGAAGAAGAAAAAAAGCGGGGAAAGAAACAGAAGAAGAAGAAGAAGAAGAAGAAGAAGAAGAAGAAGAAGAAGAAGAAGAAGAAAUAGUAGAAGAAAAAGAGGAAGUUAAAGACGAAGACGAAGAAGAAGAAGAAGAAGAAAAAGAAGAAGAAGAAGAAGAAAAAGAAGAAAGAGAAGAAGAAGUAAUAGAAGAAAAAGGGGAAGAAAAAGAUGUUACGUGGUCUCUCUCUCUCUCUCUCUCUCUCUCUCUCUCUCUCUCUCUCUCUCUCUCUCUCUCUCUCUCUCUCUCUCUCUCUCUCAAGUCCGUUUCUAAUUGCACAACUUUCACAACGUUUUUCUCUUUUUUCUUUCGCGUCCGUUGCUGUUAUUAGAUAGUGUUGUUGUUGUUGUUGUUGUUGUAUUCUUUGUUUUGUUUUUUGUUGUUCUUGUUCUUGUUGUUUUAAAAGUGUUAGCAGCUGUAAAGAGUUAACGAUAGUAGUAGUAGUAGUAGUAGUAGUAGUAGUAGUAGUAGUAGUAGUAGUGUGGGCUAUAAGAACAUAAGGACACAGCAAGGGGGAGGUAGGCCUAUAAAGGGCAGCUCGUAGUUUUAGCAGUAGGCCUAGUGUAACAGCAUAAGGGAGAAGAGUAUUAAUAGGAGUAGUAAGAGGCUGAGGAGGAGGAGGAAGAGAAGGAGACAAACGAGGAAGAGGAAGAGGAUUAAGAGGAAGAGGAGGAAGAGGAAGAAGAGAAGGAGGAAGAGGAGGAGGAGACAAACGAAGAAGAGGAAUAGGAGAAAGGAAGCAGAGAAGGAGGAGGAGGAGGAAGAGGAAGAGGAGGAGAAGGAGGAAGAGGAGGAGGAGACAAACGAAGAAGAGGAAUAGGAGAAAGGAAGCAGAGAAGGAGGAGGAAGAGGAAGAGGAAGGGGAGGAGGAGUAAGAGGAAGAGGAGUAAGAGGAAGAAGAGAAGGAGGAAGAGGAGGAGGAGACAAACGAAGAAGAGGAAUAGGAGAAAGGAAGCAGAGAAGGAGGAGAAAGGAAGCAGAGAAGGAGGAGGAAGAGGAAGAGGAGGAGGAGGAGAAGGAAGAGGAGUAAGAGGUGAAGGAAGAGGACACGAAACACGGUCAAGAGUAUCGACUUGAGAGCCACGCAAAUUAUUAUCGACUAAGAGGAGGAGGAGGAGGAGGAAGAGGAGGAAGAGGAGGAGGAGGAGGAGGAAGAGUAGAGUUCACUAACCUCACAAGUGUUCAAAUAAGGCGAGAUAACACCCUAGAAUUACCUCUCUCUCUCUCUCUCUCUCUCUCUCUCUCUCUCUCUCUCUCUCUCUCUCUCUCUCUCUCUCUCUGCUACUAUGUUCUGUCUCUUUCUUUCUUUUUUAUCUAUUUUCCUUUCCUUUCUAUUUUUUCCUAUUUUUCUUUUCAUUUUCCUUAUUCCUGUUAUUUUCUUAUUUUCUUCUUUUUUUCCUUUUCCUUGUCUUUCGCUUCAUCUCUCUCUCUCUCCCCUUUUCCUGAUAUUUUCUCUCUCACCCUUUCUUUCCUUCCUUCUCUCCUUUCAACUUUUUUCCUGUUUCCUCCUAACCUUCCUCUUCUCUCCUAUCUCUUUUCUUCUACCCCUUUCCUCUUCGUUCCUCUCUUCUCCCACCUCCUUCCUUCCUUUCCCUUCCUUUUUCUGUUAUUGCUAUCCUUUAUUUUCCAUCUUUUUCCUCUCUUCCCUCUUUUCUCUCCAUUCCUUCUCUCUUCCUCUCCUUCCCUUCCUCAUACCUAACUUUUUUUUUCUAUUUUUAUCUCUGGCGCAUCGGUAAGUGAGUCUACCCACGAAUCCACUGGCCAAGGUUCGCAUCCCGCCACGCCCAGCCAGCCCACCUUUUGUUUACCUUCCCUCGCAGGCUGAUCAAUAGACAUACACACCUGGGAAGCCUGGCUAAGGUAAGCUGUGGUAACCUGGAUGGCUCGGUCUGUCUAUCUGUCUGUCUGUCUGUCUUUUCUUUUCCUUCCUCCUUUUCUAAAACUUCCUUGUCAGCCUUUUCUUCUUAAUUUCAUUCUUGUUUUUCUAGUUCCCAUUGCUGUCUCUCUCUAUGACUACUUAAUACUGUUACUACUACUACUACUACUACUACUACUACUACUACUUCUCAAUCUUCUACAAAACCAUUUAAACAUUUUCUUCAAUUUCUCUUUGUUUAUAUUCUGAAAUUCCCAGCUUGUUCUCCCCUUUCUCUCUCUCUCUCUCUCUCUCUCUCUCUCUCUCUCUCUCUCUCUCUCUCUCUCUCUCUCUC